UACGUAGGGUGCAAGCGUUUGUCCGGAAUUAUUGGGCGUAAAGAGCUCGUAGGCGGUCUGUCGCGUCGGCUGUGAAAACUCGGGGCUCAACUCCGAGCUUGCAGUCGAUACGGGCAGGCUAGAGUUCGGCAGGGGAGACUGGAAUUCCUGGUGUAGCGGUGAAAUGCGCAGAUAUCAGGAGGAACACCGGUGGCGAAGGCGGGACUCUGGGCCGAUACUGACGCUGAGGAGCGAAAGCGUGGGGAGCAAACAGG
rnacentral:rRNA from 1 species